rnacentral:rRNA from 1 species
GCUAUACUGCAAGUCGAACGAACUCUGGUAUUGAUUGGUGUUGCAUCAUGAUUUACAUUUGAGUGAGUGGCGAACUGGUGAGUAACACGUGGGAAACCUGCCCAGAAGCGGGGGAUAACACCUGGAAACAGAUGCUAAUACCGCAUAACAACUUGGACCGCAUGGUCCGAGUUUGAAAGAUGGCUUCGGCUAUCACUUUUGGAUGGUCCCGCGGCGUAUUAGCUAGAUGGUGGGGUAACGGCUCACCAUGGCAAUGAUACGUAGCCGACCUGAGAGGGUAAUCGGCCACAUUGGGACUGAGACACGGCCCAAACUCCUACGGGAGGCAGCAGUAGGGAAUCUUCCACAAUGGACGAAAGUCUGAUGGAGCAACGCCGCGUGAGUGAAGAAGGGUUUCGGCUCGUAAAACUCUGUUGUUAAAGAAGAACAUAUCUGAGAGUAACUGUUCAGGUAUUGACGGUAUUUAACCAGAAAGCCACGGCUAACUACGUGCCAGCAGCCGCGGUAAUACGUAGGUGGCAAGCGUUGUCCGGAUUUAUUGGGCGUAAAGCGAGCGCAGGCGGUUUUUUAAGUCUGAUGUGAAAGCCUUCGGCUCAACCGAAGAAGUGCAUCGGAAACUGGGAAACUUGAGUGCAGAAGAGGACAGUGGAACUCCAUGUGUAGCGGUGAAAUGCGUAGAUAUAUGGAAGAACACCAGUGGCGAAGGCGGCUGUCUGGUCUGUAACUGACGCUGAGGCUCGAAAGUAUGGGUAGCAAACAGGAUUAGAUACCCUGGUAGUCCAUACCGUAAACGAUGAAUGCUAAGUGUUGGAGGGUUUCCGCCCUUCAGUGCUGCAGCUAACGCAUUAAGCAUUCCGCCUGGGGAGUACGGCCGCAAGGCUGAAACUCAAAGGAAUUGACGGGGGCCCGCACAAGCGGUGGAGCAUGUGGUUUAAUUCGAAGCUACGCGAAGAACCUUACCAGGUCUUGACAUACUAUGCAAAUCUAAGAGAUUAGACGUUCCCUUCGGGGACAUGGAUACAGGUGGUGCAUGGUUGUCGUCAGCUCGUGUCGUGAGAUGUUGGGUUAAGUCCCGCAACGAGCGCAACCCUUAUUAUCAGUUGCCAGCAUUAAGUUGGGCACUCUGGUGAGACUGCCGGUGACAAACCGGAAGAAAGGUGGGGAUGACC